GACGAACGCUGGCGGCGUGCCUAAUACAUGCAAGUAGAACGCACAGUUUAUACCGUAGCUUGCUACACCAUAGACUGUGAGUUGCGAACGGGUGAGUAACGCGUAGGUAACCUGCCUGGUAGCGGGGGAUAACUAUUGGAAACGAUAGCUAAUACCGCAUAAUAUUGAUUAUUGCAUGAUAAUUAAUUGAAAGGUGCAAUUGCACCACUACCAGAUGGACCUGCGUUGUAUUAGCUAGUAGGUGAGGUAACGGCUCACCUAGGCGACGAUACAUAGCCGACCUGAGAGGGUGAUCGGCCACACUGGGACUGAGACACGGCCCAGACUCCUACGGGAGGCAGCAGUAGGGAAUCUUCGGCAAUGGACGAAAGUCUGACCGAGCAACGCCGCGUGAGUGAAGAAGGUUUUCGGAUCGUAAAGCUCUGUUGUAAGAGAAGAACGGGUGUGAGAGUGGAAAGUUCACACUGUGACGGUAUCUUACCAGAAAGGGACGGCUAACUACGCG
rnacentral:rRNA from 1 species